UGGGGAAUAUUGCACAAUGGGGGAAACCCUGAUGCAGCGACGCCGCGUGAGCGAAGAAGUUAUUUCGGUAUGUAAAGCUCUAUCAGCAGGGAAGAAAAUGACGGUACCUGACUAAGAAGCCCCGGCUAACUACGUCGCC
rnacentral:rRNA from 1 species